rnacentral:rRNA from 1 species
CAAGGGAGAGGGCAUUUCCGGUAUCAGCAGCAGCAGCAGCAGCAGCAGCUUGAGUGGCGGUUACGGGGUAAAUGGGCA